rnacentral:rRNA from 1 species
UGAGGAAUAUUGCACAAUGGGCGAAAGCCUGAUGCAGCAACGCCGCGUGGGCGAUGAAGGCCUUCGGGUCGUAAAGCCCUUUUUGAGGGGAUGAGGAAGGACAGUACCCUCAGAAUAAGCCUCGGCUAACUACGUGCCAGCAGCCGCGGUAAAACGUAGGAGGCGAGCGUUAUCCGGAUUUACUGGGCGUAAAGCGCGUGCAGGCGGAUUGGAGAGUUGGAUGUGAAAGCUCCCGGCUUAACUGGGAGAGGUCGUUCAAUACUUCCAGUCUUGAGUGCAGUAGAGGGAAGUGGAAUUCCGGGUGUAGUGGUGAAAUGCGUAGAUAUCCGGAGGAACACCAGUGGCGAAAGCGGCUUCCUGGACUGUAACUGACGCUCAGACGCGAAAGCUAGGGUAGCAAACGG